rnacentral:rRNA from 1 species
UACGGAGGAUCCAAGCGUUAUCCGGAAUCAUUGGGUUUAAAGGGUCCGUAGGCGGUUUUGUAAGUCAGGGGUGAAAGCCCAUCGCUCAACGGUGGAACGGCCAUUGAUACUGCAAGACUUGAAUUAUUGGGAAGUAACUAGAAUAUGUAGUGUAGCGGUGAAAUGCUUAGAGAUUACAUGGAAUACCAAUUGCGAAGGCAGGUUACUGCCAAUAUAUUGACGCUGAUGGACGAAAGCGUGGGGAGCGAACAGG